rnacentral:piRNA from 1 species
UCUUUGUGUUACUAUGAGCCUAGUUCUGU